rnacentral:tRNA from 1 species
GUUUUACUAAUUUAAAUAAAAAUAUUGGUUUUGUAAACCAAAAAUAAGAAUAACUUGUAAAACU